rnacentral:misc_RNA from 1 species
UUCUUUUCUAGCCAUCAGGAUGUAGGAUUACAGUUCAAUCACAAAAUAAAAGCCAUUAGUUGUAAAUAAUUAGUGCAAACACAAGACUACGCCUAUGCUAUAGAUAUAUCUUGGGUACACCAAUGAGCUAUAUAAAAUAUGUUCAUCAUUCAUCAAGGCAAAUAUACAAGCACAAAGAACUGCUAAAAUCACUUACACAAACCCACCCCCACAUUUAUGAACUAUCAAUGAUCAUCAGGUAUUGGCUUCAGGGAAGUGUUCAAAUAGACUGAGGAAAUAUUCAUCUUGCUGAGGAGAAGCAAAGAAUAUACACAGUUGAGAUAAGGAGAUCACAUGAAGACAGACAAAGUAAAAUUUCCACUUAUCAAAUGUAAAUCAACUGAAGACAAACCAUGGAUGCAAUCUGCAAAUUCAUGUGUGUUGCAAAUCUAAUCUCCCUGCUACUUCUUUCAUGAGUUUAUUGGGCUCUCCUACCUUUGUCUUAACUAAUACAAAACCUUCCCACAAAAUACUCUCUCCUCUUCUUCUCCCAAACCAUAAAUCCCAGUGGAAACUCACUCCAAACCAACCUGCAGUAUUCAUCUAGAGUUCCCAACAUCCCUGCUCUAUUCAUACUAAUAAAAUACCACUAUAACUCUUCAGAUGCAUGAAAUUUAUUUCUGGUUUAUAUUUCUACCACUCAAAUAUUAAAUAUAUCUACGGAUCAAUUAUUUGGAGAAGCAACCCAAACAUGCAGCUUGGACUGCUGAACAUACGGAUCAAGCUGUGCAGGAAAUUAAUUCUAAAAUUAGUGCCAGGAAUUUAGGACUAAUUUCAUAUUAAUGAGAAAAUUGGAGAGUUUUGGCUAGGUGGUCUCUAAGUGGAGCUCAAUAAUUUCUUCAUGGACCUAGAUGUCAAUCAUGUUUUCUUUUGGACACAUCAUUUUCCUGCUUGCUGUCAACCAAAAAAAUUUUUGGAUUUCAUCUUAUUAGAUCAUAUCAUCAUAUAGUCCUUUCCCUUAUCACAAUAAAUACCCUUCUCAUACACUUGGGGAUUUUUGGUUCUCACUCUUCCCAAUUGAGCCACUUCCCCUCUCACUCAUUUCUUCUCUUUGUACUCUCUCUAUGCACUACAUUAUCUUAACCUCCACUUCUUGUUGAUGAUACUUUGACAAACAUUUAGGUACAUACUAAAGUUGUUUCAUUUACAUUCCUUGCUAUGGAUUCUAUUCUAAGCCCAGUAGCCCACUCACUCAAUCCUCAGUCCUCACACACUUCAAAUUCUUUGUUGAGCAUUACCUGCGUGCAACACUGCCUCUGUAUAAUUACUCAAAGAACCACAUCCUCAACAAGAAACAACGAAGGAUCUGCUGCUAAUAGGUCUAACUAUAAGACAUGAAGGUGCAGAAAUUUAUGUCCCCUUCACCAAAUUUGGCUUCCUUUACUGAUACACAUAUUUCAACACUGACCAAUUAGUUUUGUCAUUUAAUCCCUUGAUAUUAUG